rnacentral:rRNA from 1 species
CAGGUUGAAGGUUGGGUAACACUAACUGGAGGACCGAACCGACUAAUGUUGAAAAAUUAGCGGAUGACCUGUGGCUGGGGGUGAAAGGCCAAUCAAACCGGGAGAUAGCUGGUUCUCCCCGAAAGCUAUUUAGGUAGCGCCUCGUGAAUUCAUCUCCGGGGGUAGAGCACUGUUUCGGCUAGGGGGCCAUCCCGGCUUACCAACCCGAUGCAAACUGCGAAUACCGGAGAAUGUUAUCACGGGAGACACACGGCGGGUGCUAACGUCCGUCGUGAAGAGGGAAACAACCCAGACCGCCAGCUAAGGUCCCAAAGUCAUGGUUAAGUGGGAAACGAUGUGGGAAGGCCCAGACAGCCAGGAUGUUGGCUUAGAAGCAGCCAUCAUUUAAAGAAAGCGUAAUAGCUCACUGGUCGAGUCGGCCUGCGCGGAAGAUGUAACGGGGCUAAACCAUGCACCGAAGCUGCGGCAGCGACACUGUGUGUUGUUGGGUAGGGGAGCGUUCUGUAAGCCUGUGAAGGUGUGUCGUGAGGCAUGCUGGAGGUAUCAGAAGUGCGAAUGCUGACAUAAGUAACGAUAAAGCGGGUGAAAAGCCCGCUCGCCGGAAGACCAAGGGUUCCUGUCCAACGUUAAUCGGGGCAGGGUGAGUCGACCCCUAAGGCGAGGCCGAAAGGCGUAGUCGAUGGGAAACGGGUUAAUAUUCCCGUACUUGGUGUUACUGCGAAGGGGGGACGGAGAAGGCUAUGUUGGCCGGG